rnacentral:rRNA from 1 species
UACGUAGGGUGCAAGCGUUAAUCGGAAUUACUGAGCGUAAAGCGUGCGCAGGCGGCUUUGCAAGACAGAUGUGAAAUCCCCGGGCUUAACCUGGGAACUGCAUUUGUGACUGCAUGGCUGGAGUGCGGCAGAGGGGGAUGGAAUUCCGCGUGUAGCAGUGAAAUGCGUAGAUAUGCGGAGGAACACCGAUGGCGAAGGCAAUCCCCUGGGCCUGCACUGACGCUCAUGCACGAAAGCGUGGGGAGCAAACAGG